AUUGAACGCUGGCGGCAUGCCUUACACAUGCAAGUCGAACGGUAACGCGGGGCAACCUGGCGACGAGUGGCGAACGGGUGAGUAAUGCAUCGGAACGUGCCCAGUAGUGGGGGAUAGCCCGGCGAAAGCCGGAUUAAUACCGCAAACGACUGACGGGCGAAAGGGGGGGAUCGCAAGACCUCGCGCUAUUGGAGCGGCCGAUGUCAGAUUAGGUAGUUGGUGGGGUAAAGGCCCACCAAGCCUUGGAUCUGUAGCUGGUCUGAGAGGACGACCAGCCACACUGGGACUGAGACACGGCCCAGACUCCUACGGGAGGCAGCAGUGGGGAAUUUUGGACAAUGGGCGCAAGCCUGAUCCAGCCAUGCCGCGUGCGGGAAGAAGGCCUUCGGGUUGUAAACCGCUUUUGUCAGGGAAGAAACGCUCUGGGCUAAUACCUCGGGGUAAUGACGGUACCUGAAGAAUAAGCACCGGCUAACUACGUGCCAGCCGCCGCAGUAA
rnacentral:rRNA from 1 species